UGAGGGAAUAUUUGGGGUCAAUGGGCGGAAGCCUGAACCAGCCAAGUAGCGUGAGGGAUGACUGCCCUAUGGGUUGUAAACCUCUUUUAUAAGGGAAUAAAGUGAGUCUCGUGAGACUUUUUGCAUGUACCUUAUGAAUAAGGACCGGCUAAUUCCGUGCCAGCAGCCGCGGUAAUACGGAAGGUCCGGGCGUUAUCCGGAUUUAUUGGGUUUAAAGGGAGCGUAGGCCGGAGAUUAAGCGUGUUGUGAAAUGUAGACGCUCAACGUCUGCACUGCAGCGCGAACUGGUUUCCUUGAGUACGCACAAAGUGGGCGGAAUUCGUGGUGUAGCGGUGAAAUGCUUAGAUAUCACGAAGAACUCCGAUUGCGAAGGCAGCUCACUGGAGCGCAACUGACGCUGAAGCUCGAAAGUGCGGGUAUCGAACAGGAUUA
rnacentral:rRNA from 1 species